GACGAACGCUGGCGGCGUGGAUUAGGCAUGCAAGUCGAACGGUAUCAUCCUUUCGGGGGUGAGAGAGUGGCGAACUGGUGAGUAACACGUAGGUUAUCUACCCUCAAGACGGGGACAACCCAGGGAAACUUGGGCUAAUACCGGAUGUGAGCAACUUUUAGUUGUUUGAAAGGUGGCGUAAGCUGUCGCUUGGGGAUGAGCCUGCGUCCUAUUAGUUAGUUGGUGAGGUAACGGCUCACCUAGGCAAUGAUAGGUAGGCGGCCUUAACGGGUGGUCGCCCACACUGGGAUUGAGACACGGACCAGACUCCUACGGGAGGCAGCAGUGAGGAAUAUUGGUCAAUGGGCGGAAGCCUGAACCAGCCAUGCCGCGUGCAGGAAGGAGGCCCUACGGGUUGUAAACUGCUUUUACCCGGGAAGAAACCGCCCCUGUGGGGGCGUUGGCCGGUACCGGGGAAAAAGGAUCGGCUAACUCCGUG
rnacentral:rRNA from 1 species